GGAGGAUUAGUCCUAACGGUAAGGCGGCGGUCUUGAAAACCGCUGGGCUCUGCCCUUGGGGGUUCGAAUCCCUCAUCCUCCGCCA
rnacentral:tRNA from 1 species